rnacentral:rRNA from 1 species
GACGUAGGGCGCGAGCGUUGUCCGGAUUUAUUGGGCGUAAAGAGCUCGUAGGCGGCUCGUUGCGUCGGCUGUGAAAACCCGCAGCUCAACUGUGGGCUUGCAGCUGAUACGGGCGGGCUGGGAUUCGGUAGGGGAGACUGGAAUUCCUGGUGUAGCGGUGAAAUGCGCAGAUAUCAGGAGGAACACCAGUGGCGAAGGCGCCGCUCUGGGCCGAGACUGACGCUGAGGAGCGAAAGCGUGGGUAGCAAACAGG